UUCCGGUUGAUCCCGCCGGAGGCUAUUGCUAUCAGGGUUUGACUAAGCCAUGCGAGUCGAGAGGUGAAAGACCUCGGCAUACUGCUCAGUAACACGUGGAUAAUCUGCCCUCAGAUGAGGAAUAAUCCCGGGAAACUGGGGCUAUGCCUCAUAGGAGACGGGUGCUGGAAUGCUCUGUCUCUGAAAGGUCCGCCGUCUGAGGAUGAGUCUGCGUCCGAUUAGGUUGUUGUUGGGGUAACGGCCCACCAAGCCAUUGAUCGGUACGGGUUGUGGGAGCAAGAGCCCGGAGAUGGAUUCUGAGACAUGAAUCCAGGCCCUACGGGGCGCAGCAGGCGCGAAAACUUUACAAUGCGAGCAAUCGUGAUAAGGAAACCCUGAGUGCCUGUCAAUGCAGGCUGUUCUGGUGUUUAGUCCGCACCAGGAGAAAGGGCGGGGCAAGACCGGUGCCAGCCGCCGCGGUAAUACCGGCUGCUCGAGUGAUAGCCACUUUUACUGGGCUUAAAGCGUUCGUAGCUUGGUCGUUAAGUCUCUGGGGAAAUCUUCUGGCUUAACCAGA
rnacentral:rRNA from 1 species